rnacentral:rRNA from 1 species
CCUACGGGAUGCACCAGUGGGGAAUAUUGCACAAUGGGCGCAAGCCUGAUGCAGCCAUGCCGCGUGUAUGAAGAAGGCCUUCGGGUUGUAAAGUGCUUUCAGCGAGGAGGAAGGCAUUAAGGUUAUAACCUUGGUGAUUGACGUUACUCGCAGAAGAAGCACCGGCUAACUCCGUGCCAGCAGCCGCGGUAAUACGGAGGGUGCAAGCCUUAAUCGGAAUUACUGGGCGUAAAGCGCACGCAGGCGGUCUGUCAAGUCGGAUGUGAAAUCCCCGGGCUCAACCUGGGAACUGCAUUCGAAACUGGCAGGCUAGAGUCUUGUAGAGGGGGGUAGAAUUCCAGGUGUAGCGGUGAAAUGCGUAGAGAUCUGGAGGAAUACCGGUGGCGAAGGCGGCCCCCUGGACAAAGACUGACGCUCAGGUGCGAAAGCGUGGGGAGCAAACAGGAUUAGAUACCCCUGUAGUC